UGAGGAAUAUUGCUCAAUGGCCGCAAGGCUGAAGCAGCAACGCCGCGUGAGGGAUGAAGGUUCUAUGAAUCGUAAACCUCUGUAGAAAAGGAGAAAUAUUCGCCUCGGGCGAAUUGAUAGUACUUUUAAAGUAAGCCCCGGCUAACUACGUGCCAGCAGCCGCGGUAAUACGUAGGGGGCAAGCGUUGUCCGGAAUCACUGGGUGUAAAGGGAGCUCAGGCGGGUUUAUAAGUCAGAGGUGAAAUCCUGCAGCUUAACUGCAGAACUGCCUUUGAUACUGUAGAUCUAGAAUUCAGGAGAGGGUGAUGGAAUUCAUGGUGUAGCGGUGAAAUGCGUAGAUAUCAUGAAGAACACCAGUUGCGAAGGCGGUCACCUGGCCUGAUUAUUGACGCUCAAGCUCGAAAGCGUGGGGAGCGAACAGG
rnacentral:rRNA from 1 species